CACCCAUUUCAGGUCUCUGCAGAGGCGGUGCCUGAAAGGAGGUGAGGGAGAUGGUGGCUGGUUGUCAAAUGCGCACCUCCUGCCCUUAAGCCAGGCUGCAUGGCUUGUGAGGCAUUUCACCUCUGAGCUGUCACCGGGAGAGAUCCAACUUCCAGGGGGAAGAUACUGGAAGCCCGCUCUGGUUGCUCCAGCCCACAUGAUCUUUCUCCAUGAAUUUCCUGAAUUCAGAGCACCCACUGGCUACUCCCUGUGUGCAGAAGCCUUGUGACCUCUCUGGAAAUGAGUGUGGUGGUUCAUUUCCUAGCUUCAUAAACAGAGGCAAACAACAACCUUGGUUCCUCCCCUGAAGGAGCUCAAAGUUAUACAGGCAGCCGGCUGACAGCAAGAGGCAGUGCUCAAAGGAGAUGGGAGUCGCCACCACAGGUGAACUUGGCUGACCUCAAUAGCAUGCAGCCUGCCCUAUGGAUGGGUAUCUCUUCUCUGUCCCCAAAUCCAUGAGCUGAGAUCUUCACAAGCUGUUGGCGGCAUAGGCAGCUCACUGUACCACUCCCCAGGCACCGAGAAUCAGCUUGGUCGAGACCCCAGAGAUUGAAACUAUCUCCUUGACCCUUGCAGUUCUGCUACUGGGAAACUGAGGCCCAGCUAGAGUUGCUUCUGGGGUCAGUAACAUUUAGUAAUCCUUUCUUUCCUUCACUUAACCUUAUGCCUACUGACAGAAAUGAACAGAACCCAGUUUUUUUUUCUUUUUAAUAUUGUAUUUAUUUAUUUGAGAGAGAGCAUGAGCAGGGGGAGGGG